UGUAGUAGCUCAGUGGUAGAGCGCUUGCCUAGCAUGUGAGGCCCUGGAUUCGAUCCCCAGUACCACAG
rnacentral:tRNA from 1 species